ncrna:unclassified sequences Transposase-1 RNA
CGAUCGAGUUUGUCACUGUCAUUACCCUCACGUUAGGAUAUGGGAAUACUGGUGUUGA